rnacentral:rRNA from 1 species
UUUCAACAACGGAUCUCUUGGCUCUCGCAUCGAUGAAGAACGCAGCGAAAUGCGAUAAGUAAUGUGAAUUGCAGAAUUCAGUGAAUCAUCGAAUCUUUGAACGCACCUUGCGCCCCUUGG